UGUGAAUUCUUGCAAUGAGAUUUGCACGCUUGUAGAAUGUUUUCUUACAUAUAUAUUUUUUUCUUGGAUGCUUUUUCUAGCACAAACACAAGUGCAUAACUACAACGGCGUGAAUCUGCUGCUACGAGUCUCAAACACUGUUUUUCGCUUGCAAAUGACAAGUUUCACGCUCUCUCCCUUUUGCACCACCUAUCUGUGUGAAAAAUGGUGCAAAAGUGAUUUGUGCAUCUGUAGAGGCAACGGCGGGCACUGUUCAGAGAGCAGAGAAUUUCGGCCAAUCAGAAGAGCUCAUUUGGGCGCCUGAAACACGCCCCCUAGUUUUAGCCACAACCCCGAAAAAUCGCGAGCUGCGAGCAUCUUGACAGCGACAAGUAUCAAAAAAGAAAAAUGACAGAUCAGGGUGCAUCUUCGCAGUGUCCCAAGAGCAGCUGAAACAGCUUGUUAAAUUUUGGGUUGGAUGGGAGAUACCCAUGGCUAGCAUGAAAGUGGAGGUGGUUCGAGCGGAAUAUCCCACUUCAUCCACAUGCUUCCGCACCCUUCGCUUACCUGGUUACUACAACAGUUUCAGAGAAUAUAGUGUUCAUUUAGACAACUGCAUUGCAACCUAACUAAGAAACACUGUUUACCAACGUAGCUAUAUUUAAGCUAUAAACAAAUGAUUUCAGAAAGAAAAAAUACCCACGUACCUUUUUUGAUACUUGUCGCUAUCAAGAUGCUCGCAGCUCGCGAUUUUUCGGGGUUGUGGCUAAAACUAGGGGGCGUGUUUCAGGCGCCCAAAUGAGCUCUUCUGAUUGGCCGAAAUUCUCUGCUCUCUGAACAGUGCCCGCCGUUGCCUCUACAGAUGCACAAAUCACUUUUGCACCAUUUUUCACACAGAUAGGUGGUGCAAAAGGGAGAGAGCGUGAAACUUGUCAUUUGCAAGCGAAAAACAGUGUUUGAGACUCGUAGCAGCAGAUUCACGCCGUUGUAGUUAUGCACUUGUGUUUGUGCUAGAAAAAGCAUCCAAGAAAAAAAUAUAUAUGUAAGAAAACAUUCUACAAGCGUGCAAAUCUCAUUGCAAGAAUUCACAAACUGAUUUGCGGAUGUACAAAAUUCGUCCGUGACUUCAC